rnacentral:lncRNA from 1 species
AUGUAUUGGAGCUGUGUUCCUCUCUCCGAUGCAGACUCCACUGGGGUUUUCAAGACAUGCCCUUCUGCGGGGAUAUUAGAAUACUGGCGAAGAGGAGGCAGGUCUGAAUCUAUUUCGAAAACACUAAGAAGCAGGAUUCAUAGUGACACAAACAUCAGGUCCAACUGUCAGCUUCCUUGGAGACAGGAGUCAGCACUGGUAGCCUCUCCAGGACCCAGAACCCAACAAGAGGCCAAGAUUUCAUGGAGAGAUUCAUCUCCACAUUGCAAACCAAUCAUGUAGACUUGAGCUGGUCUCUCAGCCACGAAACCGACCCACGGGAUGUUUAACAAAUUCUUGCUGGUGAAUGCCAGACCAGGAGAACCACAAAAGAAGUGAAAAGACAUUUUUAAACUCAAAAAUAUCCUUCCUUUGAAAAUGUAAUAUUUAGAAAAAUAACAGUUAAAAAAAAAGAAACCUCCAUUAUUCAAAACAGGAUAAAUGGAAAAGACAUUUCAAAUAAAAAAAAGUUUGUAUUAGGGAUGGAGGGAGGUGGCCCUUCUCUCCUUUGGGUAGCAGGAUAAACAUGGUGUGCCAGCCCCCCUUGCCAGCGAAAAAGGAGAGCAUAAAGGAUGGCGAAGGAUUUUCCAUGGACAGGCAGGAGGAAUGAAGGGAGACUCAUAACUUACUAAAAUCCACUCACAGCUGAAAUAAUAUUGGAAAUAUUGCAAGUGACUCCAAGCAGUUAAAAAUGUUACCUCAUUACAGUCCACAUAAAAUUCCUAAUCUAUAUGCCUACAUUUUGUAUAAUUUUCUUAAACACAUUUACAAAGUAGAGCAAGCUGUGACGCCCCUUUGGAAGACAGGGAUGCGUAAAUAAAUCCUGGGGAAAAGUAUGGGAAAAUCUUACCCCAAAAAGGUCGUCUUGUCCCCUUUGACCAUUGUUCAUAUCAUGGAGUAAUUUAAAUAAAUCUUUUUAAUACAAAAAACAUGAACAAAAGCCUUUAGGGUAAAAAAUGGCUGUGACUCCUCUUCUCACCUCUAGUCACUGUAUCUUUCCCAACAAGGAGCAUAAUAUUGAGACCCAAAGUAGCCCUCACAGCAAGCUGGCCAUUGGGCAAAGCAAACAAACAGGCUCGGUUCCUGUUAUCAAAGGGCCAAAGUAUACAGUAAAUUGGUCAAUAAAUAUUUAUUAAGUUUGCAGGAAGUCCAAGAGACACAGAGAUCAGCAAGGGACUGUCCAUGUCCUCAGGGAAACCCACAAAUGUGGAGGAGACUCUGAAGGAAGUGAAAUUUAAAAUAGCAAGCAUUAAAAGAUGGGCCAGAGAGCCUGCCAAUGGUGGGGGCAGAGACUCAGCGAAGCAGGGACUCUGUGCAGCAGAGGAAGCUCCCACCAAGAGGCCCUGAGUGCUGGACUUGGCCAUGGCGGGGAAGGCAAGGCCAUUAGGUUGAGGGUGUGGACACCGACAGGGCAGGUGGUCUCCAGGUGCCAGGUGGACACAGACAUGCUGUAGGAGACAAGGGGGCGGUGGGAAAGGGCCACCUGGCACAGGUCAUGGUGCCAACACAAGACUUGAGACAAAAUGUGGAGCGAGCAAGAGAGAGAACAAUAUGGAAGCUUGGGCAGUGGCUUCCACCUCCAGGGAAAGGAUGCCUGCUGUCUCUGGGAACAUUUGGCUCAGUUCCUCUUGCUAAAUGGCCUGAGGUCAGCAUCUGCAGAAUCCUGGAUUUCCUGUCCACACUGCUGGUGUCCACACUCCUGGUGUCCACAGCCUUAGUCUCUCUUGCCAUGUGAACCUACAUACCCCAGAGUUGUACUGAAUCCCCCUGGAAAAAUUAACCUAAUUAUACUCCCCCAACAUCCUGGGCAGUGUGGUAUAUGGGGGUGGCUAUCAUUGAGGAAGAGGAGAUGAAGCCCAAGUGGAUAUGACAUGAGGAAGUGUCCCUGGUCAAACUCUCACUGAGUACCAGGCGCCUGCCUCUUAAAGGGCAUUGGUGGAAGUUGUCAUCAGUUCUCAGACCAGAGUUGCAAAUCCUUAAGAUUUGAUUUUUAGGGAUCUGGAGAAGCUGUUGGGCAUGGAGGACCAUGGUAAGAGGUGACAGAUGCUACUCAGUGACACCAAAGACCCUCAUGCCCAUGUCUUCAUGAGCCCUGGCAUCCCUCUCUGGCUUGUCUAGACCCGUGUAGCUGGGUGACGCACUCAAUCAUAACCCAGAAUCUUACAAGUACUGAUGUGGCUUCCAGAUAAGCUUCAUUUUCUUCCAGGAAGGGCAAUCCAGUCUACAAUGUUGCCAGGCAGUAUAAUGACUGCUGAGAAGCGAUGAAAAAUUCAUCCCAGAAAUAAAUCAUCUCCUUAUUUGCCAUAAAUACAAAUGUUGUGUGGGGGGCAUCAUUUAUGGCUUUAUAAUUGAUGCAGGAAUCCCUGGCAUGGGUGCUGGUCCCUAUCUGCUAUGCAUUUUGUAGCUCAUGCUUGGCCGUUUAUGUCACUACCCAAGUUUUUUCUUUCUUACUAAGUCCCUGCUUUCGAUGUGCCUUACCCUGCAGGAUUUCAGGUAUCCUUAGUAGCUGCCAUAAAUAAAUCCUUUGGGUACACAGGCAAAUUAAGGUGUUAUAAUAGAGGAACAUGUUUUUAUUGGAAUGUGAGGGGAGGAGGCAGUAGUUUUCUUUCUUUCCUUCCUUCCUUCCUUCCUUCCUUCCUUCCUUCCUUUCUUUCUUUCUUUCUUUUUUUGGUACCGGGGAUCGAACUCGGGUCCUUACACUUUCAAGGCAGGCGCCGGAACCACUGAGCUAAAUCCCCAGCAGAAGAGGCAGUAGUUUUGACUAGAGGGGUCUGGAAUAUUUUGCAGAAGAAUUGAGAUGGACUUUGCUGUGGUUAAAUGCAUCCCCCAAAGUUUAAGAGUUGGAGACUUACUCCGAGAUGCAACAAUGUUGAGAGGUAGUACCUUCAGGAGUAAUUAAUAUUGAUGUGUCCAGCCCCCUGGCCUCCCACCUUUCUGCCAUGGGGCAUCAAGGCUGGAAGGGCCCACCAGGCACAGCCCCGGGAUCCUGGAUUUCUCAGUCUCUAGAAAUGUGAGUCAAAUCAAUUUCUUUCUUUUUUUUUUUUUUUUUGGUACCAGGGAUUGAACUCGGGAUGUUGCGCUUGCAAGGCAGGCAGCGGAACCACUGAGAUAAAUUCCUAGCCCUCAAAUCAAUUUCUUUAUACAUCACUCAGUCUCAGGUAUUCUGUUAUAGCAACUCAAAACAAAGACAAGUGUCGUCAGGCAAAUAUUGAGGGGGGGCAGGU